rnacentral:rRNA from 1 species
AACGAACGCUGGCGGCGCGCCUAAUACAUGCAAGUCGAGCGAGAAGACGUAGCAAUACGUUUGUAAAGCGGCGAACGGGUGAGGAAUACAUGGGUAACCUACCCUCGAGUGGGGAAUAACUAGCCGAAAGGUUAGCUAAUACCGCGUACGCUCCUUGGACUUCGGUUCAGGGAGGAAAGCGAUACCGUGGGUAUCGCGCUCUUGGAUGGGCUCAUGUCCUAUCAGCUUGUUGGNGAGGUAACGGCUCACCAAGGCUUCGACGGGUAGCUGGUCUGAGAGGACGAUCAGCCACACUGGCACUGCGACACGGGCCAGACUCCUACGGGAGGCAGCAGUAAGGAAUAUUGCGCAAUGGGCGAAAGCCUGACGCAGCGACGCCGCGUGGGGGAUGAAGGUCUUCGGAUUGUAAACCCCUUUCGGGAGGGAAGAUGGAACGAGCAAUCGUUCGGACGGUACCUCCAG